rnacentral:rRNA from 1 species
AGCGAACGUUUGCGGCGGGCCUAACACAUGCAAGUCGAACGCACUAGCAAUAGUGAGUGGCGCACGGGUGCGUAACACGUGGGUAAUCAACCCUUCAGCCUGGGAUAACGACUCGAAAGGGUCGCUAAUACCGGAUAUGGCGCGAGAGGCUUCGGCUUCUCACGAGAAAGCCACGCAAGGGGCACUGAAGGACGAGCCUGCGGCCCAUCAGCUAGUUGGUGAGGUAAGAGCUCACCAAGGCUAAGACGGGUAGCUGGUCUGAGAGGAUGAUCAGCCACACUGGAACUGAGACACGGUCCAGACUCCUACGGGAGGCAGCAGUGGGGAAUAUUGCGCAAUGGGCGAAAGCCUGACGCAGCCACGCCGCGUGAGCGAUGAAGGCCUUGGUCGUAAAGCGUCUGUGGGGAGGAGACGAGAAAGACCGUGUGAAGAGCAGGCCGUUGACGGUAUCUCCCUUAGCAAGCACCGGCUAACCUCC